AUGGAGAAGCAGAGCAUGAAGAAGGCGUGGACGGCGGCCGAAAACGGGGUGAGGCUGAAUGUGCCCCGUGCGGAAGCAACGGUGGGAGAAUCCGCCAAUGCUUACACCGUCGAGGCGGACGGACUCGGAUGUGAGAUCUGCUUCGAACCUUUUGGUGAUCAGAUCUUCAUGUGCAAGAAUGGGCAUCCUGCGUGCGGAACCUGCUGCACCAUCAUGAACCGCAAGUGCUCCUGCUGCUCCGAGCCGAUUGGCGACAUCCGGUGCCGGCCGCUGGAGAAGAUCCUGGCGGCCAUGACCAGGCCCUCCACCUAUGUGAGCUACGGGUGCCAGAAGAUCGUCAGCUACACCGAGAGGCAGAGCCACGAGAAGCUGUACAACCACAUACACGACCGCCACGCCCCGUCCACCGUGGUCGUGCCCGGCGGCAGCCGGCGCUCCACCGUCACGCUGGAGAAGAAGAUACCCUUCCGCGUGCUCCUGCACCGCGAUUGGGCAAGCGUUUUCCUCCUGCUCAACGGCGGCGACGUCCUGUCCGGGCGCUCGCUGUCGCUCGUCUGCAUGAGCCCUCGCCCCAUGGGGAAAUCCGAGGCCAAGUACAAGAUGGAGGUGAAGCAUUGGUGGAGCGACCCGAGUGCGCCCGUGCUCUUGAGCUCAGGGGCUGCGCCCUUCGUCCGGCGGCUGGACGAUUUCCGGGUCAGAGGGUUCCUGUUCGUGCCCGACUCCUACUGGAACUUAUCGGACAGCGUCUCGGUCACAGUGCAUCUCACAGACGGCAGGUGA
rnacentral:rRNA from 1 species